UUCUUCAUGGGUUAGCACAGAGUAGAGAAGCUCCAUCGGUAGAAGGAAGUAAAAUUUGCGCCUUUCGAGUUCUUCAUCAGCUAACAGCCCUUGAAUGCGGUGUCCCACUUUGAGGACUCUAACCUCCCAUCCAAGAACAACACCUUGAAGACCCCAUUGGCUGUCAAGGAAGGUGUGCAAGAAGCUGCGUUGCCCAUUUCUGAGAAAGACACAGAAGGGUUUCAAAAUUGGUAUUUUAACUUUGAAAUGUCAGAGUAUUUAUCAGGGAAGCUGCCUGGUUGUUAAGAAAGAAAGAAAGAAAAAUAGCUGAUUGUCGUUUUCUGCCUCAAGGUCCAUGGUUGGGUAAUCAGUUAACAUAUCUUUAUUUCGAUAUUCUGAUUUUAAUAUUUUGGUACUGAAGUUUGUCCUAAGUGUUGUUAUAUCUUUAUAACCAAGUUUCCCAUCUGGCAGAGGCUUAGUUUUAUGCAGAUACGAAAUUAAGAGAAAGUGGGCGUGUCUUUGGGCAUAUAAUCUAUUUGCCCCUUGUGUUAAAGAUCAUCUUUUUUAAUUAAAGCCACAGAUGAAGGAAAUAGGCCAACCUGGCAAAUUUUGGCCUAUUUUGACUUCGAUGUGUGGAAAAAUGACUCACAUAACUUUCCAGUUUGUUUAAUUUUGUAUUUCUUAUGGUUUAUUUGUGGAGAGAAGUGGAGACUAGUUUAUUGCAGUGCACAUGGGGAGUGAUGGAGAAAAAGCUACGGGAUUUAGAUAAACUCACUCAAGGACACUACCAAACUAAUGAUUAGAUAUGAGCAUCUGCAUUUGAGGGCAAACGUCAAAUCUCUUGAAGGAAUGAUUGGCAAACAGCGGCUCGGUUGUUGCUUAGAUGGUUGACAUCAGCCACAACAUAGAAACACAGACUUCACAAACUGUUAAACUACUUGCUCUCUUUCCUGAUUUCUUCUAGAACCCAAAAUUUGUCUACGAUCAUAAUAUUAAAUGCAGAACAUGGAAAAAUGAAGUAAUCGAAAAGCAAAAAAGAUAAAGAAAAGGAAAUUU